GAUGAACGCUGGCGGCGUGCCUAACACAUGCAAGUCGAACGAACAGACGAGGAGCUCUCGCCUUUGACGUUGGCGACGGGCGGGUGAGUAACGAGUAGAUAGCCUUCCACUCUGACUUGGGUAACUUCGGGAGGCCGGAGAUACUAAUGGAUAAUACAACCAACCGGAGGGUGCAGUAGUGAUUGAGGGUUUUGGUGUCGCUUAUAGACGGAUCCGCGUCGCAUUAGCUAGUUGGUAAGGUAACGCCUUACCAAGGAGCCGAUGCGUGGCCGAGCUGAGAGGGUGGUCGGCCACACUGGAACUGGGACACGGUCCAGACUCCUACGGGAGGCAGCAGUAGGGAAUCUUCCGCAAUGGGCGAAAGCCUGACGCAGCAACGCCGCGUGAGUGAUGAAGGCCUUCGGAUCGUAAAGCUCUGUUACUGGGGAAGAACAACUGUGUGUUGAAAUAUGCCCGUCUUGACGGUACCUAAAGAAAAAGCCCCGGCUAACUACGUG
rnacentral:rRNA from 1 species